rnacentral:rRNA from 1 species
UACGUAGGUGGCAAGCGUUGUCCGGAAUUACUGGGUGUAAAGGGUGCGUAGGCGGAUUGGCAAGUUGGAUGUGAAAUCUCCGUGCUCAACGCGGAGGUUGCAUUCAAAACUGCUGAUCUUGAGUGAGGCAGAGGCAGGCGGAAUUCCCGGUGUAGCGGUGAAAUGCGUAGAGAUCGGGAGGAACACCAGUGGCGAAGGCGGCCUGCUGGGCCUUAACUGACGCUGAGGCACGAAAGCAUGGGUAG